CCUACGGGUGGCAGCAGUGAGGAAUAUUGGGCAAUGGAGGCAACUCUGACCCAGCCAUGCCGCGUGAGUGAAGAAGGUUUUCGGAUUGUAAAGCUCUUUCGGAAGUGACGAAGAUGACGGUAGCAUCCAAAGAAGCCCCGGGUAACUUCGGGCCAGCAGCCGGGGUAAUACGACGGGGGCCAGCGUUGUUCGGAAUUACUGGGCGUAAAGGGAGUGUAGGCGGUUUAGUAAGAUAGUGGUGAAAUCCCAGGGCUUAAACUUGGGAGUGACAUUAUAACUAUUAGACUAGAGUUACAGAGAGGAUAGUGGAAUACCCAGUGUAGAGGUGAAAUUCGUAGAUAUUGGGUAGAACACCAGUGGCGAAGGCGGCUAUCUGGCUGUACAUUGACGCUGAGGCUCGAAAGCGUGGGGAUCAAACAGGAUUAGAUACCCGAGUAGUC
rnacentral:rRNA from 1 species